AGUGAACGCUGGCGGUAGGCCUAACACAUGCAAGUCGAACGGCAGCACAGGAGAGCUUGCUCUCUGGGUGGCGAGUGGCGGACGGGUGAGGAAUACAUCGGAAUCUACUCUGUCGUGGGGGAUAACGUAGGGAAACUUACGCUAAUACCGCAUACGACCUACGGGUGAAAGCAGGGGACCUUCGGGCCUUGCGCGAUUGAAUGAGCCGAUGUCGGAUUAGCUAGUUGGCGGGGUAAAGGCCCGCCAAGGCGACGAUCCGUAGCUGGUCUGAGAGGAUGAUCAGCCACACUGGAACUGAGACACGGUCCAGACUCCUACGGGAGGCAGCAGUGGGGAAUAUUGGACAAUGGGCGCAAGCCUGAUCCAGCCAUACCGCGUGGGUGAAGAAGGCCUUCGGGUUGUAAAGCCCUUUUGUUGGGAAAGAAAUCCAGCUGGCUAAUACCCGGUUGGGAUGACGGUACCCAAAGAAUAAGCACCGGCUAACUUCGUGCCAGCAGCCGCAGUAA
rnacentral:rRNA from 1 species